CACUAAAGACAACUUCGCCUGCUCCCGGAUCAGAAAAAAAUCAGAGAAAAUUGACUAACAAGCAAAAUGAAAAUACUAGUCAUAAUCGCACUGCUUUUUAUAAUGACUGGAAACGAAAUAUGCGAAGCCCAAUACAAAUAUAAUGGGGCAUGUAUCACUGAGUGCCUAAAGCAAGCAAAGCAUGAAUUUGAGGCGGUGAAUCUCCACUUAUGUUCGGAUGCGUGCAAACAUCGUAUAUUUGUGUAGUGAUUACAUACAAGUCAUUUCGAAUACAACUAGAAAAAUGAAACCAGAAACUUCACUCCUGAGCACGUCUAAACCCCUUAAAUAAGUAGGAAUGAAACAUUAUUUGUGAAUACAUCCGAUGUAUUUUAACGGAAAUAAAGCAUUUCAAAUACAUUC